AGCUCCAAUAGCGUAUAUUAAAGUUGCUGCGGUUAAAAAGCUCGUAGUUCAUUUUCUGGCAGGGUCAACUGGUCCAUCCUCUGGGUGAGAACUUAGCUUGACUGUGCUACACUUUGGGAAGCUUCUCUACAUUCGAAUGUGUGGGCAGCGAUCCAGAUUCUUACUUUGAGGAAAUUAGAAUGUUUCAAGCAAGCGGUCGCCUUGAAUAUAUGAGCAUGGAAUACUACGCGACUGCCUCGGUGCACCUUCGAUUGGUUUCUAUGGUUGAGGUAAGAUUUUGUAGGGCCAGAUGAGGGCAUUCGUAUUUAACUGUCAGAGGUGAAAUUCUUGGAUUUGUUAAAGACGGUCCAAUGCGAAAGCAUUUGCCAAGAAUGUUCUCA
rnacentral:rRNA from 1 species